rnacentral:tRNA from 1 species
GUAGGUGUGGCUCAGUGGGUAGAGCAUCAACCUUGACCAAACUGCUUAAGGCACAGCACUUAAGCCCUGAGUUCAAGCCCUAGUACCUAUA